CGCCGGAGAAGUUGCCGGAUUCGAAGAACACGGCGGAGCCGUGGCUACCCAAAAUGCAAAUCAGUCAAAAUCGAUCGAAUGGAAGAAAUAAUUACACAGACUUGAAGAGCAUGACGAGAGGAGUGAUUUUCAUGCCACACGCAGCUCAGAUGGUGGUCGGAGUCGCCGGAAUUUGCAGAAAUCGUCGGAGAAGACUCGGAGCUUCGGGUCUUCGAUUCUCCUUCUUCGUUCAAUGCAUGGACGAUCUAAUGUCACAAGGAGGUGGGCGACAGCGAGACGAAGACGAAGGUGCCCGCGCCCCGUCGUGGGGUGGCCGGACGUGAAAGUUUCGGUCGGGUCACGUUGUCAGGUCGCGGUUGUGUCUCGGGUCAGAGAGC
rnacentral:lncRNA from 1 species